rnacentral:rRNA from 1 species
AUGAGGAAGGGCGUAGUAAUCGACGAAAUGCUUCGGGGAGUUGAAAAUAAGCAUAGAUCUGGAGAUUCCCGAAUAGGGCAUCCUUUCGAACUGCUGCUGAAUUCAUGGGCAGGCAAGAGACAACCUGGCGAACUGAAACAUCUUAGUAGCCAGAGGAAAAGAAAGCAAAAGC